UUCGCAAUGCCCGAAAGGGUGACGAAGCGACGCCGCGUGUGGGAAGAAGGCCUUCGGGUUGUAAACCGCUGUUGGGAGUUAGGAAGUGUGGGAGUGUUAAUAGCGCUUCCACUUGACUAAAGCUCCAGAGGAAGCCACGGCUAACUCUGUGCCAGCAGCCGCGGUAAUACAGAGGCGGCAAGCGUUGUUCGGAAUUAUUGGGCGUAAAGAGCACGUAGGCGGCUCUGCAAGUCAGCUGUGAAAGCCUUCUGCUUAACGGAAGAACAGCAGUUGAAACUACAGGGCUUGAGUGCGGGAGGGGAGAGUGGAACUUCUGGUGGAGCGGUGAGAUGCGUAGAUAUCAGAAGGAACGCCGGCGGCGAAAGCGGCUCUCUGGUCCGCAACUGACGCUGAGUGUGCGAAAGCUAGGGGAGCAAACGGGAUUAGAUACCCCGGUAGUCCUAGCCGUAAACGAUGGGCACUAAGUAGAGGGGUUUU
rnacentral:rRNA from 1 species